rnacentral:rRNA from 1 species
CCUACGGGGGGCAGCAGUGAGGAAUAUUGCGCAAUGGGCGAAAGCCUGACGCAGCGACGCCGCGUGAGGGAUGAAGGUCUUCGGAUCGUAAACCUCUGUCAGCAGGGAAGAACGGUCACUGUGCUAAUCAGCAGUGAAUUGACGGUACCUGCAAAGGAAGCACCGGCUAACUCCGUGCCCGCAGCCGCGGUAGUACGGCGGGUGCGAGCGUUAAUCGGAAUUACUGGGCGUAAAGCGCUCGUAGGCGGUAUGUCAAGUCAAGGGUGAAAUCCCCGCGCUCAACGUGGGAACUGCCUUUGAAACUGUCAAACUGGAGUGCGUGAGAGGAUAGUGGAAUUCCAGGUGUAGGAGUGAAAUCCGUAGAUAUCUGGAGGAACACCAGUGGCGAAGGCGACUAUCUGGCACAUAACUGACGCUGAGGAGCGAAAGCGUGGGUAGCAAACAGGAUUAGAUACCCGUGUAGUC